CUAUUCCAUCCAUUUCAGCCAUUCUGUUCCAUUCCAUCCAUUGGAUUCCAUUCCAUUUGAUGAGCACCUACUAUGUGCCAGGCAGUGUUCUAGGUGCUGGAGAGACGAAACUGACACAGUGCCUGCUCUUCUGGGACUCAUACUCCUGUCGGGGAGAUGGAUGGCAAGCAAUAUCACGCCAAUGGACCUUGGGCCACACCAGGGCCAACAAUGGGGCGUGGACAGACACUGGUCUGGGGAUUAGGAGACCUUGGUUUGAAUCCUGGAUCUAUUACUAACGUUGGGAAACCCCGCAGCUCCAUGGGGCUUGAUGUCCUGGUCUGUUGACCUGGAGGCUCAAUUAACAUAAUCUUUAAUAUUCUUUCCAAGCUCUGACAUUUCUGUCUUUGAAAAUUUACUCUAUACUCUGUCAAUCUAUUUACUUACUUACUUCUGCUUCCCCUCAUUUCCAAAAUAAUCUGAGGCUAUUGUCCAUCCCCACUGUUCUUUCCCUCCAUGGCACACAGCAUCUCCCGGUCUUCAUAGUGGGCCUGGCAUUGGGCAGAAGAGGAAAUGAGAGCCAUUGGUCUCCGGCUGUCCUCUCACCCAGGUCUGCUCUUGUCCUUUCUCCUGUCGCUGCAGUGCGUUUCAGCUCAGCAAGGUCCUGCACUGGGGCGGUUUGGACCCUGUGAUGCAAGUUCUGGUUCUUUCGUGAUUUGGGGAGCCUCUGGUCUUCCACAAAGGAAGAAAAGGCACUGGAGACAAGCCAAUCGCCUCUGGAGAGCUGGCCUGAUUAGAAGUGCCCAGGGAGAGGUUGGUUGGUUUCACCCCUGUCCUGCUUCUCCAGCCUCAUCUGGGGACUUCUGCGUGAGCCUGUUGUCCUCCUGGAAGCUGAGGGCUGCAGUCGGGGUGCCUCAGUCUCGUAAAAGUCCUUCCUUGGGUGAGUGCAAAGCAGUCACGAAGGCUCCCACGUCCAGGAAGUCUCCUCUGAUUGAUCUCACCUUUGUCCUGAUGGCUCCAUUGCCUUUUCUUUUGAAUCCUCACCCGCUUCUCCCUCGUUUCUUUCCUCUGCCUUCUAGCUCAGUUCCCCCUUUCUGUCCUCUAUUUGCUGCUGCUUCUUCCUUCUACACCACUACCUUCUCUUGGGGCUUCCCCUCCUUCCUCCCCUCUCCUCCUCCACUUCCUUCCUGCUUCUCCCCCGCCCCCUGCGUUUUCAUCCCCCUAAUUCCACCCUGAACCCCUCAAUCUGUGUCACAGAGCUGAGAACGCAGCUGAGCACCCCCGCGCGGAAUUGCCUGCGGUCCUGUCCCAUUUUGCCCUCCUGUGGUCAGGCUUGGCACAAACGAACCCCGGGCCCCAGCUUGGGGGCCGGGGGCACUGAGAUCUGGAUUGUUGUCUUCCAGCCCAGCCCAGCCGCCCCGUGGAAAUAAGCUACUGUCUUGCCCAAAUGACAAAAAUAAAAGAAAUCAGAGGGAAAGUGCUGGUCCCGGC
rnacentral:lncRNA from 1 species